AUGGCGAGCCACAGCCAGCCGCCGGCGCAGGAGUUCACCAGGGCCAUCGCCGACGCGGCCGCCGCCGGUGAGGAGCAGGAGCUAGUACCCAGUCCCAGUGCGGGGCACGGCGCCGCAUCACAGCCACAGAGACAGUGGGUCACGCCGCCGGCACCGCCGGCCGCCGCAGUUGUUGAUGCCGCGGAGGGGAGCUUACCUCCAGUGCAGCAAUUUGCUCCAACAACCUCAAUCUCUAAGCCUAAGGCAGUACAGAAUUCAAAACUCAAGAGGAAGAGCAUCGCCAUUGAUUUGAAAACUUUGUGGAGUAGAGCUGGGAAGAAAUCUAGAGCAUGUGCAGGGGCUCUAGUGAACACAAGUCCAAUUGCAGAACAUGUUCAGGUUGAGCAGCAAGUGCAGGUGCAGAACACUUCCCCAUCGAAUCAACUUCAUAGCACUAUGAGCUCCCCUUCAGUUCAAAAUCAGCAGCAGCUACAGAUUGUUGGUGCCACGAACACAAGUCCAAUUGCAGAACCUGAGAUUGAGCACGAAGCAAGCGAAGAAUCUGAAAAUAUAGAGGAAGAGAAUGACACUGAAGAUGCAGUUUACGAUGUUCAGCUGCUUGAACCUGAUCCUGGGAAGAGGAUUGCUAUUGCAGAUUAUGAUGUUAAUGACCAGAACAGGAUUAGAAGAGGAUACAUUGCAAAAGGGGCUUGUCGACCAAAAAAGUAUGCUUUUCCACAACACCCUGUUGGAGGAUUUAGAAAUUGGAAUCACAAGGCUAGUUUUGGGAAACAUGUUGGUGGGAUCAAUAGUGCACACAACAAAGCACAAGAGAAAUACAAUUUCUUCAUUGCACCCAAAACAACAAUCGUAGAGUCAUUUUCUUCAACCACCAAACAAGACAAGAUUCAAUUGCAAUUGUUGAGAGAUGAUGGUGGAUGGGAAACUUUCCUUGAAGAGGUCACUUCUUAUUGUGUCAAGCAUAAAGUCAAAGUUCCUCAAAUGGAUGGUAAGUACAAGCCACCUGGAAGACCCUCAAGAUUCUACAAAAAUCUCACGAAUCUCCAUCGCUUCCAUGUUGAGAUGUUUUUGGGUCUUAUUGAUAGGCAACUUCGAGAGCUUGGAGAUAGAUUUGAUGAGAGAUGA
rnacentral:rRNA from 1 species